rnacentral:rRNA from 1 species
GACGAAGGUGGCGAGCGUUAAUCGGAAUUACUGGGCGUAAAGCGUGCGCAGGCGGCGCCGCAAGUCAGGCGUGAAAUCCCCGAGCUUAACUUGGGAAUGGCGCUUGAAACUACGGUGCUGGAGUGUGGCAGAGGGAGGUGGAAUUCCACGUGUAGCGGUGAAAUGCGUAGAGAUGUGGAGGAACACCGAUGGCGAAGGCAGCCUCCUGGGCCAACACUGACGCUCAUGCACGAAAGCGUGGGGAGCAAACAGG